UUAUGGUCAGAUUAUGGUCAGGUUAUGAUCAGGUUAUGGUCAGGUUAUGGUCAGGUUACGGUCAGGUUACGGUCAGGCUAUGGUCAGAUUAUGGUCAGAUUAUGGUCAGAUUACAGUCAGGUUAUGAUCAUUACGGUCAGGUUACGGUCAGAUUACAGUCAGGUUAUGAUCAUUACGGUCAGGUUACGGUCAGAUUACAGUCAGGUUAUGGUCAGGUUAUGGUCAGAUUAUGGUCAGGUUAUGGUGAGAUUACGGUCAGGUUAUUGUCAGAUUAUGGUCAGGUUAUGGUGAGAUUAUAAUCAGGUUAUGGUCAGGUUAUGGUCACGUUACAGUCAGGUUAUGGUCAGG
ensembl:lncRNA